rnacentral:tRNA from 1 species
UCCUUGGUGGUCCAGUGGCUAAGACUCAGCACUCCCGAUGCAGAGGAUGCAGGUUUGAUCCCUGGUCAGGGAA